GACAGAGGUGCCAAGCGUUAGGCGGAAUCACUGGGCUUAAAGCGUGUGUAGGCGGUUUCCUAAGUACCUUGUGAAAUCCCCCGGCUCAACCGGGGAACUGCUGGGUAUACUGGGUGCCUUGAGCCAACUAGGGGCUGCCGGAACAAAUGGUAGAGCGGUGAAAUGCGUAGAUAUCGGGAGGAACACCGGUGGCGAAGGCGGUUCUCUGGGCCUGACCUGACGCUGAGGAGCGAAAGCGUGGGGAGCGAACAGG
rnacentral:rRNA from 1 species